GUAGUCCACGCCCUAAACGUUGAUUACUCGUUGUUGGCGAUAUACUGUCAGCGACCAAGCUAAAGCGUUAAGUAAUCCACCUGGGAAGUACGACCGCAAGGUUGAAACUCAAAGGAAUUGACGGGGGCCCGCACAAGCGGAGGAGCAUGUGGUUUAAUUCGAUGAUACGCGAGGAACCUUACCUGGGCUUGAAAGUUAGUGCCUUUCUGUGAAAGCAGAAUUCUCUUCGGAGCACAAAACUAGGUGCUGCAUGGCUGUCGUCAGCUCGUGCCGUGAGGUGUUGGGUUAAGUCCCGCAACGAGCGCAACCCCUUUCUUUAGUUGCCAUCAGGUAAUGCUGGGGACUCUAAAGAUACUGCCUACGUAAGUAGUGAGGAAGGUGGGGACGACGUCAAGUCAUCAUGGCCCUUACGUCCAGGGCUACACACGUGCUACAAUGGUCGACACAGAUGGUUGCUACUUAGUAAUAAGAUGCUAAUCCCAAAAAGUCGGCCUCAGUUCGGAUUGAGGUCUGCAACUCGACCUCAUGAAGCUGGAUUCGCUAGUAAUCGCAUAUCAGCAAUGAUGCGGUGAAUACGUUCCCGGGCCUUGUACACACCGCCCGUCAAGCCAUGGAAGAUGGGAGUACCUGAAGCCGAUAACCGCAAGGAGUCGUCUAGGGUAAUACCGUUGACUGGGGCU
rnacentral:rRNA from 1 species